rnacentral:rRNA from 1 species
GUGAACGCUGGCGGUAGGCCUAACACCUGCAAGUCGAACGGCAGCACAGUAAGAGCUUGCUCUUACGGGUGGCGAGUGGCGGACGGGUGAGGAAUACAUCGGAAUCUACUUUUUCGUGGGGGAUAACGUAGGGAAACUUACGCUAAUACCGCAUACGACCUAUGGGUGAAAGCAGGGGAUCUUCGGACCUUGCGCGAUUGAAUGAGCCGAUGUCGGAUUAGCUAGUUGGCGGGGUAAAGGCCCACCAAGGCGACGAUCCGUAGCUGGUCUGAGAGGAUGAUCAGCCACACUGGAACUGAGACACGGUCCAGACUCCUACGGGAGGCAGCAGUGGGGAAUAUUGGACAAUGGGCGCAAGCCUGAUCCAGCCAUACCGCGUGGGUGAAGAAGGCCUUCGGGUUGUAAAGCCCUUUUGUUGGGAAAGAAAAGCAGCAGGUUAAUACCCCGCUGUUCUGACGGUACCCAAAGAAUAAGCACCGGCUAACUUCGUG